GAUGAACGCUGGCGGCGUGCCUAAUACAUGCAAGUCGAGCGAAUGGAUUAAGAGCUUGCUCUUAUGAAGUUAGCGGCGGACGGGUGAGUAACACGUGGGUAACCUGCCCAUAAGACUGGGAUAACUCCGGGAAACCGGGGCUAAUACCGGAUAACAUUUUGAACCGCAUGGUUCGAAAUUGAAAGGCGGCUUCGGCUGUUACUUAUGGAUGGACCCGCGUCGCAUUAGCUGGUUGGUGAGGUAACGGCUCACCAAGGCAACGAUGCGUAGCCGAGCUGGGAGGGUGAUCGGCCCAGCUGGUACUGAGACACAGCCCAGACUCCUACGGGAGGCAGCAGUAGGGAAUCUUCCGCAAUGGGCGAAAGUCUGACGGAGCAACGCCGCGUGAGUGAUGAAGGCUUUCGGGUCGUAAAACUCUGUUGUUAGGGAAGAACAAGUGCUAGUUGAAUAAGCUGGCACCUUGACGGUACCUAACCAGAAAGCCACGGCUAACUACGUGCCAGCCGCCGCGGUAA
rnacentral:rRNA from 1 species